ACGAAGCAUUUAGAACAGAUUACUUCGGUUUGAAGUUCUUUAUGACUGAGUGGCGGACGGGUGAGUAACGCGUGGGUAACCUGCCUUGUACUGGGGGAUAGCAGCUGGAAACGGCUGGUAAUACCGCAUAAGCGCACAAUGUUGCAUGACAUGGUGUGAAAAACUCCGGUGGUAUAAGAUGGACCCGCGUCUGAUUAGCUAGUUGGUGAGAUAACAGCCCACCAAGGCGACGAUCAGUAGCCGACCUGAGAGGGUGACCGGCCACAUUGGGACUGAGACACGGCCCAGACUCCUACGGGAGGCAGCAGUGGGGAAUAUUGCACAAUGGAGGAAACUCUGAUGCAGCGACGCCGCGUGAGUGAAGAAGUAAUUCGUUAUGUAAAGCUCUAUCAGCAGGGAAGAUAGUGACGGUACCUGACUAAGAAGCUCCGGCUAAAUACGUGCCAGCAGCCGCGGUAAUACGUAUGGAGCAAGCGUUAUCCGGAUUUACUGGGUGUAAAGGGAGUGUAGGUGGCCAUGCAAGUCAGAAGUGAAAAUCCGGG
rnacentral:rRNA from 1 species